CCUACGGGUGGCAGCAGUGAGGAAUAUUGGUCAAUGGUCGGGAGACUGAACCAGCCAAGCCGCGUGAGGGAGGAAGGUACAGAGUAUCGUAAACCUCUUUUGUCAGGGAACAAAGGCGGGGACGUGUCCGCGGAUGAGUGUACCUGAAGAAAAAGCAUCGGCUAACUCCGUGCCAGCAGCCGCGGUAAUACGGAGGAUGCGAGCGUUAUCCGGAUUUAUUGGGUUUAAAGGGUGCGCAGGCGGUCUGUUAAGUCAGCGGUCAAAGCCUGGGGACCAACCCCAGCCCGCCGUUGAAACUGGCGGUCUCGAGUGGGAGAGAGGUAUGCGGAAUGCGCGGUGUAGCGGUGAAAUGCAUAGAUAUCGCGCAGAACUCCGAUUGCGAAGGCAGCAUGCCGGCGCCAAACUGACGCUGAGGCACGAAAGCGUGGGUAUCGAACAGGAGUAGAUACCCGGGUAGUC
rnacentral:rRNA from 1 species